AGCGGACGGGUCUGCGCCGCCGCAGGAGGAGCAGGCGGUACCUGGACGGGUUCGUCCCGGGCUGUUUCGCGUCCGGCCUGAGGCGGCUGGGGCCGCGCAGGUUUUUAUUCAUAAUCCUCAUACACGGAACCAGCAUGUCAGUGCAUCCAGGGUCUUCCAGAGCCCCCUGGAAUCUGAUGUUUCUCUUCUCAGCAUUAACCAGGCAGUCAGCUGUCUGACUGCAGGCGUAUUGAACCCUGAGCUUGGCUAUGAUGCCCUUUUAGUGGGGACACAGACUAAUCUUUUGGCUUAUGAUGUCUACAAUAAUUCGGAUUUGUUCUACAGAGAGGUAGCAGAUGGGGCAAAUGCAAUUGUGCUGGGGACAUUGGGAGACAUUUCUUCCCCUCUUGCGAUUAUUGGUGGCAAUUGUGCUCUGCAAGGUUUCAAUCAUGAAGGAAGUGAUCUCUUUUGGACGGUAUGAAGAAGAAAACAUUCUUUUUGGUUACUGGAGACAAUGUUAAUUCCUUGGCCUUGUGUGACUUUGAUGGUGAUGGAAAGAAAGAGCUUCUUGUUGGAUCUGAGGAUUUUGAUAUCC
rnacentral:lncRNA from 1 species